rnacentral:rRNA from 1 species
UAACGAAGGGGGCGCCCUCUGGGUCAACCUCCCACCCGUGUUUAUCGUACCUUGUUGCUUCGGCGGGCCCGCCUCACGGCCGCCGGGGGGCAUCCGCCCCCGGGCCCGCGCCCGCCGAAGACACACAAACGAACUCUUGUCUGAAGAUUGCAGUCUGAGUACUUGACUAAAUCAGUUAAAACUUUCAACAACGGAUCUCUUGGUUCCGGCAUCGAUGAAGAACGCAGCGAAAUGCGAUAAGUAAUGUGAAUUGCAGAAUUCAGUGAAUCAUCGAGUCUUUGAACGCACAUUGCGCCCCCUGGUAUUCCGGGGGGCAUGCCUGUCCGAGCGUCAUUGCUGCCCUCAAGCACGGCUUGUGUGUUGGGCUCUCGCCCCCCGCUUCCGGGGGGCGGGCCCGAAAGGCAGCGGCGGCACCGCGUCCGGUCCUCGAGCGUAUGGGGCUUCGUCACCCGCUCUGUAGGCCCGGCCGGCGCCCGCCGGCGAACACCAUCAAUCUUAACCAGGUUGACCUCGGAUCAGGUAGGGAUACCCGCUGAACUUAAGCAUAUCAAUAAAACGGAGGA